rnacentral:pre_miRNA from 1 species
UUAGCUCAUAUUUGUAUGGAGUGGCAUCGUUUGCGUAUGUUUGCCGCCAGGGGCGCUGUUCUAACUGCAUACAAAAUUGGGCUA